rnacentral:rRNA from 1 species
GAUGAACGCUGGCGGCGUGCCUAAUACAUGCAAGUCGAGCGAGCGGCGGACGGGUGAGUAAUGUCUGGGAAACUGCCUGAUGGAGGGGGAUAACUACUGGAAACGGUAGCUAAUACCGCAUACCAUCAGAUGUGCCCAGAUGGGAUUAGCUAGUAGGUGGGGUAAUGGCUAACCUAGGCGACGAUCCCUAGCUGGUCUGAGAGGAUGACCAGCCACACUGGAAAUGAGACACGGUCCAGACUCCUACGUGAGGCAGCAGUGGUGAAGAUUGCACAAUGGGCGCAAGCCUGAUGCAUCCAUGCCGCGUGUGUGAAGAAGGCCUUCGGGUUGUAAAGCACUUUCAGCGAGGAGGCGUUACUCGCAGAAGAAGCACCGGCUAACUCCGUGCCAGCCGCCGCGGUAAUUC